GAAGGCCCCGAGCGUUAUCCGGAUUUAUUGGGCGUAAAGAGCUAAAGGGCUGCUUGAAAAGUUCUUGGUUAAAUCUCACGGCUCAACCGUGAGGCCGCCAGGAAAACUUUCAAGCUUGAGGUCGGAAGAGGCACGUGGAACAGCCGGUGUAGUGGUAAAAUGCGUUAAUAUCGGCUGGAACACCAAAUGCGAAGGCAGCGUGCUGGGACGAUUCUGACGCUACAUAGCGAAAGCGUGGGUCGCGAAUGGGAUUAGAUACCCCAGUAGUCCACGCCGUAAACGAUGAAUACUAGGCAUUGGGAGCUUCGACCCCUCUCAGUGUCGUUAAGCUAACGCGUUAAGUAUUCCGCCUGGGGAAGUACGGCCGCAAGGCUA
rnacentral:rRNA from 1 species